rnacentral:rRNA from 3 species
UUUAUGACCUCUGACCUCAAAUCAGGUA